CCAGCUAUUUAUGAAUGGGCGAGAAAGGCCGGCUCCAGGAAGCUAUUGCAAGAUUGCCCUUCCCAUUGGGGUUGCCCCCACCCCACCCCAUCCCACACACUUGAACAAGCGAGCCCAAGGGGAAGGCUGCUUCUGGAGCAGGCGCAGUCUCUGGCACAGUUCCAGGCAUCUUUAGGGGUGGAAGACGGCUUCCCUACAGCCUUGAGGCCUGCUGACCGUCUGAACCCUCAGAAGGAUCCUCCGGAAGGUCUCCCCCUGUUACUGCUAAACCCACAGCACACGGGCAGCCCUCAGUGUACUGCAGCCUCCUCGCUGGAUGCAGCGAGGCACCUGUGUCACGGGUGGGAGACAGGCUGGCUCCUGCGGAGUCGUGGACUCUGGCUAGCUGCCCACCGGACACCUCCUGGUGCUUUAGCAUAGGAGAACAACUCUGCUUAUAUUCCGAGACACUUCAGAUACCCAGACCUCUUUCGAACCUCAGAUUGGUAUUAGGUCACCUACAGUAUCGGAGGACACGGGAAGCUAACAGUCUUGGCAUUGUCGUUGUCCUUGCACCAUUGUCUUAGGAAAAUGUGUAAUUCUUUGGAUUCUGAAAUACUGAGAGUAGGUCACAGACACUGAUUCCUUCUCAGUGGAUGCUCUUGCUGACCUUCGGUCCCUCACCCCGUGAACCCCUGCUGCUGGAUCCACUGCUAACAGCUUACAGCUGCUUCCUGUCAGCAGCUAACCUUCACCAACGGGCACCUUCUUGCCAGCACGGCAGUGUAUCCUCCAGCCGUGAUGAGGGCAGAUCCUGGCCACCGGCUCACUGCUGGGGUGGAGGAGGCCAGCACCCUGCUGGGAUCGCUCUUGGGUGCAGCUGACACUCCAAAGCAUUGCACGGGACCAGGGUCAGGCGGCUCCCAGCUGAGCUCACGGCCCUGCUCAGCUCCUGUGGCCUCCUUCCCUCCC